GUGUGUGUGUGUGGCUAUUGUUUAGAUAAUGAUCUGAACAUGAGUGCUUUUUCAUAGAGCCUUUACAAAGGCUUUUAUGCUUCCUCCAGGCCUCUGUACCCUUCGGUAAAGACACACCCAUCUAACCCAUCUACCUAUUACAUUCCUUUCCAAACGACAUGCCAAUUAAAGGCAAGGCUCUGAUAAUCUCAUUCAUGCUGACAUCUCAUCUAAAUUAAUUAGAUCACUUCCAUGAGACAGUAUUGCAGCUCAUGAAGCUACAUGGAACAGUUCCAGUGACUCUCAUCCCUCAAACUGCUYGCAGCUGUCUGCUACCUGGAUGUUACUGUCCAAAAGAGCUCAGCUGGCAGAAGGGAACCUCUGAGCACUUUGUGCCGUUAGCCAACUGA
rnacentral:lncRNA from 1 species